UCAGUGGCUGUCAUCUCUGCCUUCAACCCUCACUGCUCACCUGGUUCUUCUAUAUCUCGAAACCACAAAAAAAGGUUUUCGCCUACUGCUGCCCUUUAUCCCUCUGGCUCAACUCUGACGCUGGUGCUCCCACGAGUGGCCCCCUGUGGCAUGGCACGCUGUGUUCUCCCCAGGGAACUCUUUAGGAGACAGGAUGUCUGAGGUCAGAAGUUCCCCCUGGUGACCAAACCAGUUAAGACUGAUGAGAUUCAAGAUCCAGCUCACUUCGCCUUUGAAGAACCUCCAACUUCAUUAUAAUUUAUUUUCCAUACUAAAUGACACUCCCACCAGUGCCAUGACAGUUUAUAAUCACCAUGACAAUGACCAGAAGAAAUUAUGAAAGGACAAAAAGGAAGACCACAACUCCGGUUCUGAGGAAUUCUCCACCCAUUCCCAGAAAAGACAAGAAUACUCCUCCCCUUGUUUUUAAUGCCCAAACCCUUCAUUAAAGAUGUCCCAUAUCUGUGACUUCCUGUCUCUCAUUAAUUGAGAAGUUAAUCUGUGAGUCAAGCUCCCACUUCUUAAGUCCAUGGCCAUUGAAUAAAGCCUGCACUGCUUGAUGCUCACUUUUGGUUUCAUGCAUUGUCUUCUCAUCACUGCAUAGAAAAAGAACCCAUUUUAAAAUCAGUAACACUUUGAUUUCUAACGGAUUAAAUUUGCCAUUUUAUUGUUUUCUGUUUGUUUGAUUUGCAUUUUGUUCUUCUGUUUCAAGUGGGUUACUUGAACAGUUUUAAGAAUUCUGUCUUUAUUUACAGUGUUUCAGAGUUCAACUCUUUGUACAGUUUAAUGUUGUUGUAGGUUUCACAGUAUACCUAACAUGUGACUUGUCAUAGUCUAUUGGUAUCAAUGGUGAGUCCUGUGAAAGUUUAUUUCCACUUAGGUCUCUUUA
rnacentral:lncRNA from 1 species